CAGUGAGGCAGGAAUGAGGGGCUUGUCCUGGGGGUGCCUCUCCUGCCUUGGCUGUUCUGGAGAAGCACAUGGGCUUUACCAGCCUGGAUCUGCCCACAUUUGGAGAGCUGCCCCUGUGUGGGGGAUGGACAGCAAAGAGGUGAUGGCUGCAGUGAUGGACAGAGCCAAGAGUGCCAAGGAAGCUCAUGAAGUUGUGCCAGGAGUGGUGAUGCAGCCGAGGGCUGCUUUGCCUGAGUGGUGCCUCCCUGCAGCUCGAGAAAAACAUAUAUGGCUCUAUUUGAACCUAACUGACUGCUGCGUGCCCUGCACAUCUGUGCUGGGUGGUGGGAUCGACGUCUCCGCUGAACUUUGGCCAAAAAGGGCAAUCACAGCAAACAGCAAUGAAACAGCAGUGUUGGAGCAGAUUUGACCUUCUGAGGCAUGAAUUUAAAACACAGAUGAGAGCUUGUGCCAAGAGGCUUCUUGGGAGCAUUGGGUCUGUUCUCAUUAAAGGCUGUGGGUUAA